rnacentral:rRNA from 1 species
GAUGAACGCUGGCGGCGUGCCUAAUACAUGCAAGUCGAGCGAACAGACGAGGAGCUUGCUCCUCUGACGUUAGCGGCGGACGGGUGAGUAACACGUGGAUAACCUACCUAUAAGACUGGGAUAACUUCGGGAAACCUGAGCUAAUACCGGAUAAUAUAUUGAACCGCAUGGUUCAAUAGUGAAAGCCGGUUUUGCUGUCACUUAUAGAUGGAUCCGCGCCGCAUUAGCUAGUUGGUAAGGUAACGGCUUACCAAGGCAACGAUGCGUAGCCGACCUGAGAGGGUGAUCGGCCACACUGGAACUGAGACACGGUCCAGACUCCUACGGGAGGCAGCAGUAGGGAAUAUUCCGCAAUGGGCGAAAGCCUGACGGAGCAACGCCGCGUGAGUGAUGAAGGUCUUCGGAUCGUAAAACUCUGUUAUUAGGGAAGAACAAAUGUGUAAGUAACUAUGCACGUCUUGACGGUACCUAAUCAGAAAGCCACGGCUAACUACGUG